rnacentral:tRNA from 1 species
GCCUGGGUGGCUCAGUUGCUUGAGCAUCUGACUUCCGCUCAGGUCAUGAUGUCACGGUUUAUGGGUUUGAGUCCCAUGUUGGGUU